CAGGCUUGGGUCUCUUGGCUGCUUCAGCACCAGAGGUUGGACAGCGCCCAUGCACUGAGGCCCUCGGGAGAAUGGGGGGAGGGAAAGGAAGGGCAGAAUGGAGUGACGUAGUGUCCAUCCACCAUGUCCCUGGAUGGAGAGACCCACACCAGGAGGGAGUGCAGGGCUGGCAGGGGAUUCUCCAGGCCCAUGGAGAGCUCAGGCUGCACCAUGGGGCUGCCCUCCUGGGCUGGAGGCUGUGCCCUCUGCAGGAUCUGAGGAAGUGCAGUCCUGAGAUGGGACAGCGCUACCCAGGUUGGGUAGCCAGAGCCUGACAAUAGUCUGCCAGCAA
rnacentral:lncRNA from 1 species